rnacentral:rRNA from 1 species
CCAGGUAAAAGGCCUACAAGUCGUGAACUUUUACCGGAGAAGAAGCAAUGACCGUAUUUGAGGAAUAAGCAUCAGCUAACUUUGUGCCAGCAGCCGCAGUAAUACAGAGGAUGC